UACGUAGGGUGCGAGCGUUAAUCGGAAUUACUGGGCGUAAAGCGUGCGCAGGCGGUUUUGUAAGCCAGAUGUGAAAUCCCCGGGCUUAACCUGGGAAUGGCAUUUGGGACUGCAAGGCUUGAGUGCGGCAGAGGAGACUGGAAUUCCUGGUGUAGCGGUGAAAUGCGCAGAUAUCAGGAAGAACACCCCGUGGCUAAGGCGGUUCUCUAGUACGGUACUGACGCUGAGACGCGAAAGCGUGGGGAGCGAACAGG
rnacentral:rRNA from 1 species